GAGUAUCAUCGUCACAUUCCACCAAUAUGGUCCUCUUUUGCUUUAUUUGACAAUGAUCACGGACCACUUAUAGCUUGUCCUCGAACUCAGAUAGCGGGGUCAUCUGCUCCUUCAAGCCCUUCCUUUUUCUGAUAUCUGCUACAAGUUGAGCAGCAGUUGAACCAGCUUCAAGCGGGUCAGCUGACAUUACGUCCCAGUGAUCAAACACACACUGUGGGAACGCCUGUCCUGAGGUUGCAGCUCUCAAAGUGCCUGAAAAUCCAAAGGAUUCGACGACAGGGAGGUAUGCCUUGAUGUUGUAGAGUGGGGUACCCGGCCUCUGCAUUUCCUCGAAUACAUGCCCACGCUUUUGGUUCAGAACACUAUAGAUUCCACCAAGUGCCUGCUCUGGGGCUUGGAUCUCCACCAAGUAGACUGGCUCAAGGAGUCGGGGUUUAGCUGUCAGCUGGGAAGCAUAGAUGACCCUCCUAGCAGUGGGAAUGACUUGACCACCACCUCUGUGAAUUGCAUCAGCAUGGAGGACCACAUCACAGACUUCAAAGCAAAUACCCCUCAUGUUUUCUUCAGCCAAUGCACCUUCCUUUGAUGCCCACUGGAACCCAGCAACAACAGAAUCCUUAAUUUCAUUAAGAUACUGAACUCCCUUACACAUAUCAACCACCAUGUUAGGGCCAGUGGUCUCAGGUCCAAAACACCAGAUUUUCUUUGCAAGAUCCUUGUCCCAACCAAACUCCUCAGACAAGAUCUUGGAACGAGCUUUGGGAUCAUCCCUUGGACCAACACGACCAUCGUCAAUGGCCUCUGCAAGACCUUCCUCCAAAGGUCGGGCCUCCAUGUAGAGACGGUUGUGCUUGUUAGGGGACUUGCUCAUCACAGUUCUGCAAGACUUCUCAAGAACAGUCUCACGGAAGGACACAACAGGGUCAGACUUAACAAUCUCAGCACCACCCAUGAAAUCAUCCUGCAGAUCCUUCAAACAGAUCUCCAGGUGGAGUUCACCAGCACCAGCAAUGAUGUGCUCCCCAGAUUCCUCAAUACUACAGACCACCAUAGGAUCUGACUUAGCCAAACGCUUCAAACCUUCAACAAGUUUAGGAAGGUCAGAUGCAACUUUGCACUGCACUGCAACACGAACAACAGGUGAGACAGAGAACUUCAUUGCUCUGAUUGGAUGGGCAUCAGACUCCUUCUCAUUGGUCAAUGUAGCAUUCUUAGUGAUGAACUGAUCCAAACCAACCAUAGCUACAGUGUUUCCACAGGGCACAUCCUCAACAGUUUCCUGCCUCUUUCCCAUCCAAAUAACAGUUCUCUGCACACUCUUGACAUACAGAUCCUUCUUCUCACCAGGGACAUAGUUUGGACCCAUGAUUCUUACCUUCAAACCAGUUGAAACCUUGCCAGAGAAAACACGUCCAAAAGCAAAGAAUCUGCCUUUGUCAGAAGCAGGAAUCAUCUUUGAGACAUAGAGCAUGAGAGGGCCUUCAGGAUCACAGUUUCUAAUAGCAGUGGCAUAGAUAUCAUCCAAGGGUCCCUCAUACAAGUUCUCUACACGGUAUUUUUGAGCUGUGGAAGGUGAGGGAAGGUGGAAAAUCAUCAUUUCUAGGAGGGCAGUACUUGCUGGGAGCCAUGUCUGCAUCACACGCUUCAUCAGUGCCUUUCCCAUCAAAUCCUUCUCAUCAGACUUCAUGGUCACACCAAGCUUCUGCAACAUAGGCCACAGUUUAUCCUUCUGAUCGUUCAUACAAGUGUUGAUGAUCUGCUUGAUGGGUUCAUAACAGAACUGAACAAAACCACGCUUGCAGUUGGGAGCACCAGUGUUCUUGGUGGUCCAUUUUCUGGUACUAGGGUCAAAGAAAUUCUCACCCCAAAGCCUUUCCAUCAUCUUAGACUCAUCAACUCCAAAUUUGGAAGCAUACAUUUUGGCAAAGUUGGUUAGAGUAAAAGCCCAACCAUGCAAACCAGCAGAGAACGCAACUGUUCCCUUUUCAGGGUAAACUUGAACAUCACCAAGAAGUGGAUCUUCAUAAGUAGCCAUGAUAACAUUUGCAUUCUCAAUAACCCUUGAGAAUGUCUGGUAAGCCUCCUCUCCAUCAACCUGAAGCUCAAGGAAGCACCUGUCCAUCUUAUUGACAGUUAAGACAGGACGGAUCCUUUCACCCAGGGCCUGCCGCAGAACAGUUUCGGUCUGGACACAAACACCCUCAACACAAUCCACAACCACAAGUGCACCAUCAGUAAUACGAAGAGCAGCAGUAACCUCAGAUGAGAAGUCCACGUGCCCAGGGGAAUCAAUAAGAUUGAUAAGGUAUUCGUUCCCUUGUCUCUCUCCCCUGUAGUUCUUGAGAGACUCAUCACUCAUCUCAUAGUAGAGAGAGA
rnacentral:lncRNA from 1 species